GCUAAUAGGGCUGCUUAUGCAGGCUACUUUGAUAUAGUAGAUAUAAAACGUUUAAGUUUCGUUAGUA
rnacentral:tRNA from 2 species